rnacentral:rRNA from 1 species
AUUGAACGCUGGCGGCAGGCCUAACACAUGCAAGUCGAGCGGAUGAGGGAGCUUGCUCCUGGAUUCAGCGGCGGACGGGUGAGUAAUGCCUAGGAAUCUGCCUGGUAGUGGGGGAUAACGUCCGGAAACGGGCGCUAAUACCGCAUACGUCCUGAGGGAGAAAGUGGGGGAUCUUCGGACCUCACGCUAUCAGAUGAGCCUAGGUCGGAUUAGCUAGUUGGUGGGGUAAAGGCCUACCAAGGCGACGAUCCGUAACUGGUCUGAGAGGAUGAUCAGUCACACUGGAACUGAGACACGGUCCAGACUCCUACGGGAGGCAGCAGUGGGGAAUAUUGGACAACGGGCGAAAGCCUGAUCCAGCCAUGCCGCGUGUGUGAAGAAGGUCUUCGGAUUGUAAAGCACUUUAAGUUGGGAGGAAGGGCAGUAAGUUAAUACCUUGCUGUUUUGACGUUACCAACAGAAUAAGCACCGGCUAACUUCGUG